AGUGGGGAAUAUUGGACAAUGGGGGCAACCCUGAUCCAGCAAUGCCGCGUGAGUGAUGAAGGCCUUAGGGUUGUAAAGCUCUUUUGGCGGGGACGAUGAUGACGGUACCCGCAGAAUAAGCCCCGGCUAACUUCGUGCCAGCAGCCGCGGUAAUACGAAGGGGGCGAGCGUUGUUCGGAAUUACUGGGCGUAAAGGGCGCGUAGGCGGCGACCCAAGUCAGAUGUGAAAGUCCUGGGCUUAACCUGGGGACUGCAUUUGAUACUGGGUUGCUUGAAUUCGGGAGAGGAUAGCGGAAUUCCCAGUGUAGAGGUGAAAUUCGUAGAUAUUGGGAAGAACACCGGUGGCGAAGGCGGCUAUCUGGACCGACAUUGACGCUGAGGCGCGAAAGCGUGGGGAGCAAA
rnacentral:rRNA from 1 species